GAAUGGCUCUGGGAAUGCUUUGGAACAUAAAACCUUAACAAACAAGAAAGCUGCAUAUUUAGUUACUAAAGCAAUUUGUUUAUCAUGGCCAAGCUAAACAACAGCAGAGUUACCUUGUUGGUUCUCACCCUGUCCCUUUUUCUCAUCAUCACAAUUGCCGAAAGCAGAGCCAUUUUCCCUGCAGUUUCCGUCAAAGCCAAAGCAGCUCCAUCAUGUGAUACGGUUUUUGGAGUGAGGAAGGGAGACACUUGUUUUGACAUCGCUCAGAACUUUAAACUCUCAACUGCGGCCUUUGAUGCAAUCAAUCCUAAUAUCAACUGCGCUGCAAUUUUUGUGGGUCAAUGGGUUUGCGUUGAUGGAACCGCAUAAACAACUACGUAUAAGAGGUCCGGUUCGACCUAAUUGCAAACGCCUCUUGUCAACCUUAUGAAUUUCUUGUUUUUGCUACUCGAAUAAUUGGAUGUCCAAGUGAUAAAUCCUGAAGUUCUCUUCUUCUUCAUUGUAAUUCACAGAGCAACACAUAAUGGAAUCUGCAACUUUUGUUUUA